GAGCCCGGAGAAGCGGCGCGCCGCCAGGAACCCCCGCGCCACCGCCGCCGCGCCUGCCUCCAGCAGCUCUCGGCCACGCGACCGUGCGGUCAGCGGCGCUUGGAGGGCGGCCGGAGCUGGGCCUGAGCCUGGGGACUCGCCUGAUCCCGGGCGGCCAUCACCAUCACCACAACCGCCCCACCCCCGCCGUCGCCUCGUGGGGCCCCGGCCCCCUCCCGGGUCCAUUGUCCCUUGAAGGGAAGUGAUGGCACAGGCUCUGAUCAGCUCUUCUGGGAACAGACAGAGAAGUGGGAAUUCCUGCCAAAGCCACAGGAUGAAUACAGCGCCAAGAACCUGAACCA
rnacentral:lncRNA from 1 species